rnacentral:pre_miRNA from 1 species
AAUGGGAUAGCUGGGUCAAAUGGUGGUUCCAUUCCAAGUUCUCUAAGGAAUCUCCAACUGCUUUCCAGAUUGGCUGCAACAAUUUGCAGUCCCGCCAGCAAU